UUUUUGUCUGUAGUUAGUGUUGGGCA
rnacentral:piRNA from 1 species